CGGGAAGCCAUAUGGCGACAUAGAGCGGAACCCGAAAACCUAGUCUCAGUUCGGAUUGGAGUCUGCAACCCGACUCCAUGAAGCUGGAUUCGCUAGUAAUCGCGCAUCAGCCACGGCGCGGUGAAUACGUUCCCGGGCCUUGUACACACCGCCCGUCAAGCCAUGGAAGCCGGGAGUGCCUGAAGUGCGUGAGCGCAAGCAGCGCCCUAAGGUAAAACCGGUGACUGGGGCUAAGUCGUAACAAGGUAAC
rnacentral:rRNA from 1 species